rnacentral:rRNA from 1 species
UACGGGGGGGGCAAGCGUUGCUCGGAAUUACUGGGCGUAAAGGGCUCGUAGGCGGCCAACUAAGUCGGAUGUGAAAUCCCCAGGCUUAACCUGGGAACUGCAUCCGAUACUGGAUGGCUUGAAUCCGGGAGAGGGAUGCAGAAUUCCAGGUGUAGCGGUGAAAUGCGUAGAUAUCUGGAGGAAUACCGGUGGCGAAGGCGGCAUCCUGGACCGGCAUUGACGCUGAGGAGCGAAAGCUAGGGGAGCAAACGGG